rnacentral:rRNA from 1 species
UACGGGGGGAGCAAGCGUUGUUCGGAUUUACUGGGCGUAAAGGGCGCGUAGGCGGCCACCGCAAGUCAGUUGUGAAAGCUCUGGGCUUAACCCAGAAAGGUCAACUGAUACUGCGGGGCUAGAGUGCAGAAGGGGCAACUGGAAUUCUCGGUGUAGCGGUGAAAUGCGUAGAUAUCGAGAGGAACACCUGCGGCGAAGGCGGGUUGCUGGGCUGACACUGACGCUGAGUGUGCGAAAGCUAGGGGAGCAAACAGG